CGACGGUCGCCUAACAGUCACUUGGCUGGAGACAGUCAGCAGCGAACAUGCUGUGCUGCUUUCCCAGGCCUCCAGGCCGCAGCCUCAGGACCCCGCCCAGGGAAAGCACUUGGGAGUGAGUGAGAGGAUGGAUCACUGGGUCCAGACGCUCCAGGCCACUGGCCAGGAACCUUCCUGCCCUCAUGGGCAGCACAGGGCAGGUCUCACCAGACCCAGCGACCACUGGCCCUGAGAUGAGAGGGAGCCCAGGGCAGGUCUCCCUGGGCCUGGCCACCACACACUCGGAGCCACUGAGUCCAGGACAGGACCAUUUAGGAUUGGCCACCUCUAGCUGCACACAGGACAUCAGUCUGGAGCUGGUCACUGGGGCCUGUGUGCCCUGUGCUGGGACAGACACCGGGGCCCAUGACAACAACAGGUUCCUGAUCAGGCACAGGG
rnacentral:lncRNA from 1 species